rnacentral:rRNA from 1 species
UAUUGGGCAAUGGGCGCAAGCCUGACCCAGCAACGCCGCGUGAAGGAAGAAGGCUUUCGGGUUGUAAACUUCUUUUAAGGGGGAAGAGCAGAAGACGGUACCCCUUGAAUAGGCCCCGUCUAACUACGUGCCAGCAGCCGCGGUAAUACGUAGGUGGCAAGCGUUGUCCGGAUUUACUGGGUGUAAAGGGCGUGCAGCCGGGAAGACAAGUCAGAUGUGAAAUCCCGCGGCUCAACCGCGGAACUGCAUUUGAAACUGUUUUUCUUGAGUAUCGGAGAGGUAAUCGGAAUUCCUAGUGCAGCGGUGAAAUGCGUAGAUAUUAGGAAGAACACCAGUGGCGAAGGCGGAUUACUGGACGACAACUGACGGUGAGGCGCGAAAGCGUGGGGAGCAAACAGG